AACAAGGGCCUAACUGUCUCCUUUUUCAAGUCAGUGAAUUGAUCUCCCCGUGCAGAAGCGGGAAUAAGAACAUAAGACGAGAAGACCCUAUGGAGCUUUAGACACCAAAACAGACUUUGUUAAACACCCCCCAACACGAGACAAAACCAAAAAGACCCUGUUCUGAUGUCUUUGGUUGGGGCGACCGCGGGGAAUACAAAUCCCCCAUGUGGAUUGGGAGACCCUCUCCUACAGCCAAGAGCUACAGCUCUAAGCAAUAGAACUUCUAACCUAAAGAUCCGGCAAAGCCGAUCAACGAACCGAGUUACCCUAGGGAUAACAGCGCAGGCGGGGGUCUAGAGCCCAUAUCGACAAGGGGGUUUACGAGAUGUUGGAUCAAGACAUCGUAAUGGUGCAGCCGCUAUUA
rnacentral:rRNA from 1 species